rnacentral:rRNA from 1 species
GACGAACGCUGGCGGCGUGCUUAACACAUGCAAGUCGAACGGAAAGGCCCUGCUUUUGUGGGGUGCUCGAGUGGCGAACGGGUGAGUAACACGUGGGUAACCUGCCCUUGACUUUGGGAUAACUUCAGGAAACUGGGGCUAAUACCGGAUAGGAGCUCCUGCUGCAUGGUGGGGGUUGGAAAGUUUCGGCGGUUGGGGAUGGACUCGCGGCUUAUCAGCUUGUUGGUGGGGUAGUGGCUUACCAAGGCUUUGACGGGUAGCCGGCCUGAGAGGGUGACCGGCCACAUUGGGACUGAGAUACGGCCCAGACUCCUACUGGAGGCAGCAGUGGGGAAUAUUGCACAAUGGGCGGAAGCCUGAUGCAGCAACGCCGCGUGCGGGAUGACGGCCUUCGGGUUGUAAACCGCUUUCGCCUGUGACGAAGCGUAAGUGACGGUAAUGGGUAAAGAAGCACCGGCUAACUACGUG